GAUUAUUAAUUUUGCUUUGUUCAAUAAGGUUUUCUAAUAAAUUAUGUUUUUAUCAGAUAUGACAGAAUCUUUUUUAAAAUCUCUUCAAUAUGCUUUUAUUGCUUUUGAGAGGUUUUGUUACUUUGAGUAAAAUUAAGUGUUCAUAACAGACGGGUAGUCAUGAUUGAGUUCAUUGUGU
rnacentral:rRNA from 1 species